rnacentral:rRNA from 1 species
UACGGAGGGAGCUAGCGUUGUUCGGAUAUACUGGGCGUAAAGCGCACGUAGGCGGCGCCGUAAGUCAGGGGUGAAAUCCCGGAGCUCAACUCCGGAACUGCCCUUGAAACUGCAGUGCUAGAAUUCUGGAGAGGCGAGUGGAAUUCCGAGUGUAGAGGUGAAAUUCGUAGAUAUUCGGAAGAACACCAGUGGCGAAGGCGGCUGACUGGUCCGGAUCUGACGCUGAGGCGCGAAAGCGUGGGGAGCAAACAGG